GAUGAACGCUGGCGGCGUGCCUAAUACAUGCAAGUCGAGCGAACAGACGAGGAGCUUGCUCCUCUGACGUUAGCGGCGGACGGGUGAGUAACACGUGGAUAACCUACCUAUAAGACUGGGAUAACUUCGGGAAACCGGAGCUAAUACCGGAUAAUAUAUUGAACCGCAUGGUUCAAUAGUGAAAGACGGUUUUGCUGUCACUUAUAGAUUGAUCCGCGCCGCAUUAGCUAGUUGGUAAGGUAACGGCUUACCAAGGCGACGAUGCGUAGCCGACCUGAGAGGGUGAUCGGCCACACUGGAACUGAGACACGGUCCAGACUCCUACGGGAGGUAGCAGUAGGGAAUCUUCCGCAAUGGGCGAAAGCCUGACGGAGCAACGCCGCGUGAGUGAUGAAGGUCUUCGGAUCGUAAAACUCUGUUAUUAGGGAAGAACAAAUGUGUAAGUAACUAUGCACGUCUUGACGGUACCUAAUCAGAAAGCCACGGCUAACUACGUG
rnacentral:rRNA from 1 species